AAACUUUCAACAACGGAUCUCUUGGCUCUGGCAUCGAUGAAGAACGCAGCGAAAUGCGAUAAGUAAUGUGAAUUGCAGAAUUUAGUGAAUCAUCGAAUCUUUGAACGCACAUUGUGCCCCUUGGUAUUCCGAGGGGCAUGCCUGUUCGAGCGUC
rnacentral:rRNA from 3 species